rfam:Bacillus sp. CHD6a contig10, whole genome shotgun sequence.
UGUUAUUCUUAAGAGGAAUUAUUUUUGUUCGGUAUGUAAGGAUUCAAAGUUAAGAUUUAACUUUCGCCUUGAUAUUUCUAAGAGCAAGAAUAGUAAUACAUUGUGUGGUAAGCACACUAGGAGGUAACAACAUGUUACAAGGUACAGUAAAAUGGUUUAACGCAGAAAAAGGUUUCGGAUUCAUCGAGCGCCAAGACGGAGACGACGUAUUCGUUCACUUCUCAGCUAUUCAAGGCGAAGGUUUCAAAUCUUUAGAAGAAGGUCAAUCAGUUACAUUUGAAAUCGUUCAAGGUAACCGUGGCGACCAAGCUGCUAACGUUAACAAAGCAUAAUUUAUAGCACAGCAUAUAAAAGGCUCCCAGUUAUGGGGGCCUUUUUAU